rnacentral:rRNA from 1 species
GACGAACGCUGGCGGCGUGCUUAACACAUGCAAGUCGAACGGAAAGGCCCUGAUUUUGUGGGGUGCUCGAGUGGCGAACGGGUGAGUAACACGUGAGUAACCUGCCCUUGACUUUGGGAUAACUUCAGGAAACUGGGGCUAAUACCGGAUAGGAGCUCCUGCUGCAUGGUGGGGGUUGGAAAGUUUCGGCGGUUGGGGAUGGACUCGCGGCUUAUCAGCUUGUUGGUGGGGUAGUGGCUUACCAAGGCAUUGACGGGUAGCCGGCCUGAGAGGGUGACCGGCCACAUGGGUACUGAGAGAGGGCCCAGACUCGUACAGUAGGCAGCAGUGGGGAAUAUUGCACAGUGGGCGGAAGCCGGAUGCGGCAACGCUGCGUGCGUGAUGACGGCCUUCGGGUUGUAAACCGCUUUCGCCUGUGACGAAGCGUGAGUGACGGUAAUGGGUAAAGAAGCACCGGCUAACUACGUG